rnacentral:rRNA from 1 species
GAGGAAUGUAUAGCAAUAGCUACUUGCAUCAUAGUAGAUAUGAUGCAAGAUCGACUAUGUUGAAUAAAAUUCUAGGUAGAAUUAUGAUAAUGACAUUGUCUGCCUAUGUGUCUUGACCAAAUUACGUGCCAGCAGUCGCGGUAAUACGUAGAAGACUAGUGUUAUUCAUGUUUAAUCGGUUUAAAGGGUACCUAGACGGUAGAUCAAGCUUUCUAAUAAAGGAAAAGGACUAAUUUACUAGAGUUACUUAUGAGGGGGUAUUAAAGUACUGCUGGUGUAGAGAUGAAAUUCUGUCAUACCUCUUUUCAAAAGAAAAACCAUGGCACAGGUAUAGGCGAAGGCAUCCCCUUAUGUGAUAACUGACGUUGAGGGACGAAGGCUUUGUGUAGCGAACAGGAUUAGAUACCCCAGUAGUCGAAGCAGAAAAUGAUGAAUGUCAUAGAUUAGAUAUAUAAGUUUAUUCUAUAAAUGAAAGUGUAAGCAUUCCACCUCAUGAGUAAUUUGGCAACAUUGGAACUGAAAUCAUUAGACCGUUUCUGAAACCAGUAGUGAAGUAUGUUGUUUAAUUUGAUGAUCCGCAAAAAACCUUACCACAAUUUGAAUAUUUAUAUUGUUUAUUGUUUUAUUAUUAAUUUUCUUGAACGUAAAAGAAAAGAGAGAUGUAGGAUAAUAGUAAGAAAAUUAAUAAAGAAGCAAUAAGAUAUAAUUACAAGCGUUGCACGGCUGUCUUCAGUUAAUGUCGCGAGACUUUGGUUAGUUCCAUUAAAUUAACGUAAACCCUUACUUUAUUUUUAUAUAGAGUAGUUCCCCGCUAUAUUGGAUAUGAU